UUGACAAAAUCCAUCAGUCCUGCAGUGUUAUCAUCUGCUUUAAGACAGAUUCAGAGAGCGCACAGUGAGAAAACAAUUCUAAAAUAUUUCCAUAAUUUUUUUUUGUGUCGAUGCAGACAAAUUGUACGACAACUACGUUAACAGUUAAUGGCUGCUGGGUACCUAUGCCAAUGCGAAUAAAGGUCACAUACUUAUCAAUUUUAUCAUUUGCAUUUCUUCGAUUUCAUGUGUUUUCGAAGUACAUUAUCGGUUGACAAAAUGCAAUGGUGAAUGAAUUUGACUGGAAAAUUUAGUUGACCAGUCUGUGUGAGUGUGUCCGUUGAUGACCGUAUACAAUAAUUUCGGGAGUUUGGUGUUUCUUCUACUAGAAAAAUUGAAAUUCAGUCAUCGAAUGGAAAGCAGAAAAAUGCCUUUAAUGACAUUCCUGAACCAUUUUCUCAACCAAACGACUGAAUCCACUACCACACAUCCGUCCCUAUUACGUGGUAGCAAUCAACACAACAGCGAUGUGCAUCGAGGAAAUUUGGUUUUUUACGAGGACGAUUUCGGUGUCGGAGGAAUCGGUUCGCCACGACUGAUCGGACAUAAUUCGUAUAGGCGUUACGUUCAAUUAUCGCCACUAUUGCCGUUUGGAAUGAUGCUCAUCAUAUCGACAAUCAUUUUUAUUUUGAUCAUUUUUCGGAGAUGGCCGGGAUUGGUAGCGGGAAUUGUAGCUGGGUGUUUAACGUCAAUUUCCAUUUAUUUGCUAUUGUUAACACUAAAGGAACAAAGAAUAGUUUACGAGUGAUCGGUGAACGAUGCAUUAUAGCUGAGCGCGGAUCCUGGAUUAUAUGUUGAUGUUCACUUUUGUUCACCGGGUGACUUGCCGAAAAGAAAAAUAUUCGUCUUGUAUAUAUAAGUAAAUACUUACAUUAAAGUGUGUGUUUAAAC